GAAGUGCAUGAUAGGAAUAGUAGGGCGAUUAAUUUACGCCAAAAAGGGGAGAUUAUUUUUUUUUUUUUUUUAGAAGUAUAGAGAUAACGCGAGCAAGCAUGGGGAUAAGCGAAAUAAGACACAUGCUGUAAGUAGACGGAUGCAUACGGUGCCAUGCAAGAAUAAUAUCUUGAAAAUGAUCGAUGGUUGUAAGCACGAGAAGAGAUAGGAUACACGGACGAGGUAUCCGUGAAAUAACACGUUAAAUUGCAACUUGGAACACAGCUUUCAACGUAUUAAUCUUGAACUGGUAACGUAUAUAUAUACGUAUAUAUACAUAUAGCUAUAUGUGUAUAUAUAAACGAUAUACAAUUAUUAUAAGCAUAUAAGAAAUAUAAUUUAUAUAGCUGUAUUCUACGUCAUCGGUACAUGUAGGACAGGCUUGCGAGUGUUCACAUGUGAUCAUCGUCUCAGCCGGCGUGAGAGUGCUUUAAAAUUUAGAGACUGUGUGAGUGAGAGAGAUACGAUAUAUAUAUAUAUAUAAUAUAUAUAAUAUUAAAAGAAAAAAGUAUAUAUAAUAAUAAUAGAGAGAGAGAGAGAGAGAGAGAGAGAGAUACCGAAGAGGAGAGAAAAAGAGAGAAAAAUACACUAUACCUUGUAGUCGACGUUACAUAUCUUUGCAAUUCAUUCGUUGGAGAGCAUAAAGAAAAAUUGUCUGUUAGACGAUUCAGCGACGCCCCAGCGAAUUAUAAUAUACGUGUCUGUUUAAUCGAAAGGAAAAGACCAAUCGCGCGAUUCGAACAAUCCAAUCUUAGAAGAGGCGUCGCUGGCCGACUGUGCGAUCGAUUAUCAUGGGGAUCGAUACGGCAGCCACGUGAGAUAUGAGACGCACAGACGACCCAGACCUGGCCCAAAAAAGUCAGUCUACAUAUCAGACUCUAGUUAGCAAUCAGGUGUCCCCUUCUCAGAUUCCAAUCAGUUUUUACUUCGAGCAAUGAAUUUUUGGUGUAUUUUUUCCGAUUCACGGCUCCGCCUUUUAUUCGUCGGUGAGAUUGUCUUAUCAAAGAUAAGAUCUCACGUCAUAGCAGAACGCGGUGAAAGGAACGAGUCAGUGAAUCGGAGUCAGUUUAUCGAACAAACAAAUCCAUCGAUCUCUCCUUCCUCGUGAGUCAUGAAUAUGCUCACCUUCUCAACGGUGAUUUCGAGUCGAUCGGCUCUCGAGGUCGAUCAUAGUCAUCCUCCUCAAGGAUCUUCGAUUUUUCCUCCUUUCCUUGAAAAUCAAGCUACAUUUUCCUAGAUUUAGAAAAUCUUAUUCGUAUCGCCAGUUACUGCUACUACUCUAUUUACCAAUGCUACCUAACUGUAACCAGCAUUAAUACCAGCUACUAUUCGUAUCGCCCCGUUAUCCAACUACCGCGAUCAAAAUCGUUAAUUAUCCCACUUCACUUACCGAUAAUUAGUUUGGUUGAGAAAUUUGCAAAUUCGAGCCCUCGAAAUUUUAAUUCGAUCUUGAUUAAGAUUCGAGGACUGUAACGAGAGGCUAGAGAUUCUUUCGAAAGGACAUAAUCAUUGAUUUCUUUUUUUUUUUUUUUUUUUUUUUUUCUUCUCGAAUAGAAGACUUUAGAUAUAUUUUUACACGAUACAUUGUAAUCGUAUUUCUUCAUCUCAUCCCUUUGUUUCUCUUGUCUUGAUUUUUGGCAUCAUUGCCGUGCAUCCUUCGAUCAUGGUGGACUGAGAGAAAAUUGUAAUAUGUUUGCAAGAUAUUAUAUCUUUGAAAACGUUAGAAAUCAUUAUUGUGUGUGUUUUUUGAUACUUGAUAGUUGCUUCGAAAUAUUAAAGAAUCACAAAUGUAAUGAAAAUUUUUCGAGAUUUUUAAAUACACUUAUUAUUUUAAUUAUAGCGGUUGAUAAUAUAAGUAAUUAAUAAUUAACUAUCGAGGAAUUGAAAAAAAAAUUAUAAUUUUAUAAGAAGAGACAAUACAUUGUAAUAAAAAUAAAAAGUUAAUAAAAGUUAAUAAAAAUUGUACAAUUAUAUGUACAAAAGUGAGAUAGGAAAGUAUGUGCUCAAAUUGGCAUUUAGAAUUUUCAUACUAUAGAACUGAUAAAAAAUAUAGCAUUAAAACUUUCAUAGAGUGAUAUUCUAAAAGUAGUAAUGUAGUGUCGUUAUUAUGGCUUCGAAGCUUAAUUUUUUUUUUUUUACAAAGCACGUCUAGCUAAAAAAAAAAAAAAAAAAAAAAAUAAAUUAAUAAUUAUAAAAUCUCGAAAAAUAAAAAUUUUAUGAUAUUAAUUAUUUCGAAACAACCGUGUAAUUACGAUUAUUAUUUCGAUUAUUAAAAAUUUCACAAUUAUUUUAUAUUGUUUAUCCAGCUUGUAUUUUUCGAUAAUUUUUUUUUUAAAUCUUGUAUAUCUAAUAUGCAUAUAAUUAACAAAUUUUACUGCAUGGUAUAUACAGCUUUCUCUCAGCGUACAGCCCAAUAUCCAUUUCGAUAUUCAUUUUUAAAUCUCUCAAAAAUCGAAAGUUAUUCUGUAGAAGUCGUAAAAUUGUAUUGUGAUAAUUGUAAGACAUGCAACUGGUGGAAGUUAAUCAACAUAGAUAAAAAUUCAGGAAGCAAAUUUUUCGAAAUAUAAAUAAUUAAUUGAUCUUAUUUGAUUAAUACAAUUAUAUUCUUCCACCUUGCGAACUGAAUUCAGAAGCAAUGCUCUCUCAUAGCAAUCUGUGUUGUUACGUAUUAAUGUCAUUUUACGUAAAUUACGAUGCGUAUUUUUACAUAAAUUAUAUGUUGUUGAUUAGUCGCUACACGUAGACGAACGAAUAUUCAUCGUGCGACUUCCUUGAGUUAUUUUAACUCUUUCGCUGUGAAAAAAUAUUGAAUCGUGUUUAUUAAAUUGUUCAUGAAAGAAAUGCGUGCAAUUUAAUUCUUUAACAAUAAAAAUUGUGUAUGAUUAUUUAUUAUUCUAAUAAUUAUUUUUAUUCAUUUUCAUUUUAAAAGAUAUGUAAUUAUCGUAAUAAACGAAAAAUACAGUUAUCGAAAUUACAAUUAUCUAUAAAAGCGAAAGAGUUAAAUGUUAUAAAAUAAAAAGAACCAUCUUAUGCAACUUAAAGAAAAGACAGACCGUACAUUGAAAAAAAAUGUAUAGUUUUAAAUUUUUCACGAUGAUUUUCGUUCUAUUUUUUCAUUUUUCUUUUCUCAGUUGCUCAAAAAUUCCCUCUCCACCACUAUGGAGAAUGUUUCCUGUUAACGUAGUAAUUGAAAAAUUUGUCGAUCGAUUCGUUUCUAUUUUAGAAGCGAGAUAAGAUAGCCUAUAUAUAUAUAUAUAUACUUUCGGAAUAUAUAAUACACGUAUUAUAACGUAUACAUAUAAUAUGUAUAUUAUGUAUCGUAUACAGGGAUAUGUAGCCCGCACAGUUAACCAUGACCAAAAAGUGCCGAAACAUUGGCGAAAAGAAAAAUCGAGAACGAAUGGAAUGAAGUUAUAAGCAAAAGAGUACCCUAUACAUAUAUUAUUCCGGAUCGUAAAACGCAUGGUCAGGAUAUCGAAUCUACGAUGAUCGUGCGUGCGCAAAGCAUCAUACAUGUAUGGGCAGUACUCAUGUACGCGUACACGCGCAUAUACGUAUAUAACAAGAAAAGAAAAAAAAAAAAAG